UGUCAACACACCAUCUUCUGCAGCUCUUUGGUCGUCCUCAAUGGCUCACUGUUAGAUGGCGAUCACAUACAUAUGUAAACAAGGUUAAGGAGGAACUAGAGGAGGGAGGCUGCCAAUUAAGUACGGGUUUGUGAAGUAAAUUUUGUAUCAAUGAAUGAAGAAGUGUUCAACACACACGCGAUGAUAAAAGGUGUUCUUUACAGACAUAUGGCUGAAUACAAACCCAAAAAACCUAAUAGAAGACAAGGACAAUUCACUAUGGAGGAAAGUCAAGAAAACAAGGAGUCUAUGAUAUGAAAUUCUGAAUUCUUAAAACUGCAACAGAGAGGAGUGGAAUUACUGCCAAUGGCAUAGCAGUCAGUGUGCUUAUUGUUCCCAAUGAACAGAUAACCGACCUAUUGUAUAGCAAUGGAGCAUGGAAGGAUGGCUUUACAACAUUUAGACUUGGUUGACAAGAAAUAUUCUGUGAAAUAUCAUUGUAAGUCUCUGCUUACUGUCACUUUAAGUUGGUGAAUAAGUUGAGGUUGAUUGAUUGUUUCACUAAUCUCCCUAAAGUUAAGCAGACUAAUAUCGUAGAAAGUCCAUAUGACUUUGAUAUUGCAGAUUAUCUCACUAAUGUGCCUUCUUUCUGAGGUUCCUCCUAGGACCGCGAUUUCAACAUUUUUUUUUUUUUUUAUAAAACCCUACCCCCACUUCUAUCUUUUUUCGAUGUCAUCAUACUUCUAUGGUUUAUAAUAUCAGCUUAUAGAUGUUUUGCCAAAAGACUAUAUGAUCUGGAAAUUCUUCAGCUGCUUCAUGAUUUCUCAAAUGGUUAUGAUCUGACAUACAAAUGUUUGGAUUAUUGGUUGUUAAUACCUUAACAAAAAAACAUGAGUCUUAUUUCAAUUUUUCAUCCCGUGAUUAUCAAUGAAAGAGAAGGUCCCUAAAAUUCGAUUUGGCCUAUUCGAUAACUUUGUUCGAUUUCCGUAAAAUUCCUAUUUGUCUGAGAUUAGCACUACUGUUCUAAUCUAGUAGCCUGGAAUUUUUAUGUUCUUCUAACAUCACAAUAUGGAGAAGUAAAUGAAGAUGUUCCUCCUACCGAUAUUGUUCAUACAGUACCAACAAAUGGGUACAAUACGAGUUGUUUGGAUACACACAUUAUUUCAUAGGUAUUGUUGGUGUUAGAUGUUGGCUUCUGUAGUCUUUUCAAUAACAUUUGAUUUUGGCGUUGGCUUACACAGGGAUUGUUGCGCUCACAAUUCUGCGAAUGAAGAUAAUGAUCACCGGAGCAAUUCGCCAAGCAAAUCAUCAUCCUCUCUUGUGGAAAGAUCUUCAACUACCUCUUGAAAUAGUACU